UACUUAACCAAGUAUUGCUACUGGUAUUACCUUUCUUUCCCAUUGGGUUUUAGCAGAGUAGCAUAAUGACUGUGAGAUUGGACUAUGGAAUCAGAGCCUAUGUGAUAUCCAAAUCUAGUGCUUUCUAGUUGUGUAACUUUAGGCAAGUUAAUAAACUUCACUAAGCCUCACUUCAUAUUUAUGAUGCAGAUAAUAAUCAUACUUAACCUCCAUUUUUCUGACAGGUAAAUGAGAAAAACGGAUACAUCGUGUAUUGCACUGGACUCAGCAAACAAAAAAGCACUCAGUAGAUGUUGUUUGCUGUUGUUAUUAAAGCACAGUUCUUGGUAAGUACAUCCCAUUUUUUGAAGCUUUUGCAGAUGGGUAAGUCUUGCUGCUGGAGCUUUACAUGUUGAUUUUCAUACUUGGAGAAUCUGAACUGGACAGUGUACUUGUUGCAGUCAGAUGUAUGCCUUUAUGAUUUUCAAGCCAGGAUCUGGAAAGAGGACAGAGCUUCGCAUGUGCUUUCCAUCUCUGUUUCAAAUCUUUGGCAGGAAAAAAAUGCAUCCAUUAUUUUAAAUUGCAUAAAAUGUUAUGUUUCAUCUAAA